AUUGAACGCUGGCGGCAGGCCUAACACAUGCAAGUCGAACGAGUGGCGGACGGGUGAGUAAUGUCUGGGAAACUGCCUGAUGGCGGGGGAUAACUACUGGAAACGGUAGCUAAUACCGCAUACCAUCGGAUGUGCCCAGAUGGAUUUAGCUAGUAGGUGGGGUAACUGCUCACCAAGCCGACGAUCCCUAGCUGGUCUGGGUGGAUGACCAGCCACACUGUAACUGAGACACGGUCCAGCCUCCUACGAGAGUCAGCAUUGGGGAAUAUUGCACAAUGGGCGCAAGCCUAAUGCAGCCAUGCCGCGUGGAUGAAGAAGGCCUGCGGGUUGUAAAGUACUUUCAGCGUGGAGUCGUUACCCGCAGAAGAAGCACCGGCUAACUCCGUGCCAGCAGCCGCGGUAAUUC
rnacentral:rRNA from 1 species